UGUGGGAGCGGGCUUGCUCGCGAAGGCGGCGUGUCAGUUGGCAAAUUGAUUACUGCCGAACCGCCUUCGCGAGCAAGCCCGCUCCCACA
rnacentral:misc_RNA from 1 species